UUCCAGACUCCUACGGGAGGCAGCAGUGGGGAAUAUUGCACAAUGGGGGAAACCCUGAUGCAGCGACGCCGCGUGAGUGAAGAAGUAUUUCGGUAUGUAAAGCUCUAUCAGCAGGGAAGAAAUAGCGACCUUUGGGUCGCCAGACGGUACCUGAUUAAGAAGCCCCGGCUAACUACGUGCCAGCAGCCGCGGUAAUACGUAGGGGGCAAGCGUUAUCCGGAUUUACUGGGUGUAAAGGGAGCGUAGACGGCAGCGCAAGUCUGAAGUGAAAUGCCGGGGCUUAACCCCGGAACUGCUUUGGAAAAUGGUAAGCUGGAGUGCAGGAGAGGUAAGUGGAAUUCCUAGGGGAGCGGUGAAAUGCGUAGAUAUUAGGAGGAACACCAGUGGCGAAGGCGGCUUACUGGACUGUAACUGACGUUGAGGCUCGAAAGCGUGGGGAGCAAACAGGAUUAGAUACCCGGGUAC
rnacentral:rRNA from 1 species